ACAGUGUUGCCGAAAGGGACACAUGCACAAUAUCAAAUAAAAUAAUACACACUUACAGCUUCUAAGUGGUGGAUGCAAACUUACGACAUGUAUAGAAUUAGCAAUGAUUUUGAGUUAUGCAUGUUUCCUUGUGUACGUAAUUUUGAGUGAUGGAAGUGCAUUGUUUGUACGCUUUGAAAUGAAUACGGGGCGCUCAAGAAGCAGCAUAAAGUCAAUCUAGUGGAAAAUCUACUACAAAUGAUACAAUCCCUGGAUGUGAAGAAGCUAGUGAAGGAGAUGUCGACGAGUGGAUGGGGUAUGUGUGGAGAACCUUGCUGAUGCUGCUGUGACUAAAAACCAGGAAGAAGUGGACCGCAAUGACGGAAGUGGCAAUGAGGCUGAAAGCGCCAAAGGACAGUGCUACACCUGCUGAUUUGAUGUUUAAGAGACGAUGGCGCAACUGUGCAUCGUAUAACAUACUGUCUUCAUUACGCCAAAAAACAAUGGCUGAGUCUUUGUCAUAUAAAAGCUGACACAGUGAAGGCAAUUCCAUCCAUAAAGGAGGAGGAUUUACUACUACAAGCGCUGAAUGACUAUAGAUGUAGACUCUGAACUAUGAGAACUCAGAAAUCAGUUACUUUGUUUCUGAAUCUGGAAAAAUUCCAUGGCAGAGUAACUUCGCCUAACAUAACUGAUUCAAACAUUACGUGAAAAACACAAUAAGAAUACAGAGAACAUGUUCAUAUAUUACUAAACAUUAAACAAAAUAAAUAUGAGAUGAUAU